rnacentral:lncRNA from 1 species
UUUGAAGCACAUGAGGUGUCUUGAUUUGUCGAGAAAUUAUAAAAUCAAGAAACUUCCAAAAUCCAUUUGCGAGCUACAGAGUUUACAAACACUGAAUCUUGAAGGAUGUCUGGAGCUAGAAGAGUUGCCUAAAGACAUAAGGUACCUUGUCAGUCUCAGAUUGUUAGGAAUAACCACAAAACAGAAGUCUUUGCAAGAGAGUGGAAUAAGGAGCUUGGGUUCUCUUCGUUGUUUGUAUAUUGCUGAUUGUAGGGAUUUAGAACAUUUGUUCGAGGAGAUAGAUCAAUUAAGUGUCCUUCGAACAUUAUCAAUUGGUGAUUGUCCUCGUCUAAUCUCAUUGCCACCUGCUAUCAAAUAUCUCAGCUCAUUAGACACUCUGAAUUUGUGGAGGUGUGAAAGCCUUGAUCUUAAUCUGAACGUGGAAAUGGAAGGUGAAGGAAGUCAUCAUGAUCGCAAAAACACAAGGCCUCGCCUUCGGAGGGUUUUGCUCAGGGCAAUAACACAGUUAUUAGAACUGCCACAAUGGCUUCUUCAAGGUUCUACUGAUACUUUACUUAGCUUGGUAAUUAGAGAUUGUCCCAACUUCAUGGCACUGCCAGGGUCUCUAAAAGAUCUCAAAGCUCUUGAAGCUCUUGUCAUUGCAAGAUGUCCAAAAUUGUCAUCGUUGCCGGAGGAUAUGCAUCACGUCACAACUCUGAAAUCAUUGACCAUUGCAGGAUGUCCUGCACUGAGUGAACGAUGCAAACCGCCAACAGGUGAAGAUUGGCCCAAGAUUGCACAUAUCCCUGAGAUUUUACUUGAUGGCGAGAUGAUUAAAUCAAGUGAUUAUUAGGUAUGGAUUUUUUUUUCAAUAAGCAUACCACUCUGUUAUAUUUCCUCUUUUCAUGCAGCUUUCUAAUUUUUAAUUUCUCAUACAGCUAUACCGUUUAUAGUUUAAUGUUUUGUUAUGUUUACCAAACGAAAACUUGACUUUGAACGUUAGUUAGUUCAAUCAAAUUUGUACUAAUUUAUUUUCUUCUAAUACAUAACUAGUUUGUCAGUACAAAACACAAAAAUAAUAUUUUGGAAACCGCACUGUUCUGGGGGUCAGAUCUGUUUCUAAAUUCAAACAGUUCAGGAUUUUUCAAAAUGGAACUUAUAAUGAGAUAUUUUUUUUAAUUAUCUAGUUAUCUUCAUAUGGAAUUUCAAUCUUUGUUAAUACUUUAACUUGCGCGGAAACAUCUAACAAUUCUUCCUCUUAUCCUUUUUUUUUUCCCAAAUAUUGCAGCUUUCUUGGGAGAGGUUCAACCAAACUGCAGGGACAGUGAAAAUAUUACUCUUAACGUUGUUCAGAACAGAGGUUCAACGGUUUUAAUGUUGUGUUUUAAAGUUACAAGUAUUAUAUAUUCGUUACGUGUGGUUAUGUAAUUUGCUGAUAAACAAGUACAUUGAGUGAGGUAUAUGUGUGUGCCUGUGUGGUCAUUACUGAAUUUCUCAGUAAUAUAAUUUGCAUUGACUGCAGAUUUGUGAAGAACAUUGAUGUGUUGUGUAAUGGGAACGGUGGUGUCUGUAUUUUGUGCUUUGUGAUUGACGACUUACAUUUGCCCAGGAAGAAAUGAAAACAAAUCGGCUUCUUGAAAUUAACCAUUUAUUCUUUCGAAUGGUAACCUUUUUGUGACAUGAUUCGCAUAUUAAUCAAAAGCAGUUGGCAAACUAAUUAGAUAUUGCAUCGUGAUUCGUGGCCUUGAAGGGAAAUGAGUGAGCAUGUUUGUGGAGGUUUUUGUUUUUUUCCUCCAUAUAAAAUGACUAAUUCGAAAGAAUAUGUAUUUGUAACGACCCGCUCCGACCUCCACAGGGCGAAUCUUACUGAUAGAUUCUUAAAAUAAAAUAAUAAUAAAUAAGAAUAAUAAUAAUCCUUUUACAAUCCAUAAAAAUCAUAUCCUUGAAAAUACAAAGAUAAAAUGCAAACUGCAGCGGAAGAAUUUAAAAUUCAUGCCAAACCAUCUAAUUCCUCCAUUCAAGUCCUUCUCGUUGCUCAUCACGACUCAAUCCUGAUUUACAAAAACUGAAUCACAAUAAACUAUAAUGAAUACGAAACUCAGUAAGUAAAUCAGCUUUGCAUAUACCAAAAUACAUACAUACAUAUAUAUAGUGCACAUGAAUGACGUACCGUGGUAUUCGAAAACAUUGUAAAACAAAUCAUCGAAAUCUCAUUCUGUCUUUCUCAAACUUUCACUUUCUCUUUCAAACCACUUACUUGAGCUACCUUCAUUCGAUUACCGCUUAGUAAGACACUCUCUUAACUUUCAUAACUUUCAUAGUUCUCACCAAUGUGUCCUUCGCCCACUUAUCUCAUAACUAUAUAAACAUCUAGAGUAUCCUCCACUAAGCCAGUAACGAAUUCAAGCAUCCAAGCUAAAACUGUAAAACAAUCUUUCUUUCGUCAAAUUCCACUUGCUAAAAUCAACUUUCUCAUUUUGCAGAAAUCAUAAUGCAUUUUCAUGCUCAUGCCAAUGAAAUAUUCACACAUACGUAUGCCCAUGUCCAUAAAUACACAUAACAACAUAUCAUACCAACACAUCACAUAAACACAUGGGCAAAACAUAUAAAUCAAUAUCCGGACAUAUACAAAAAUAAACUUUUCAAACAUGUCAAACAUAUAUAUUGUUUAUUGUGAUUCGUUUGGAAAUAUAGUUUACUUACCUCAUGGCAUCCUCGAAUAACAAAUGCACAUCGAUAUCAUCGGCCUAUAAAUAAAUAAAAAUACUCUCAUGAGAAUAAAAUUAAACAAUAAUCAUAAACUCCAAUAUUCUUAAAUUCCUCAAUAUAAUCACAUUCCAUACUAACCUCAAAUAAUUUUAAUUUAAAUAAUAAAUCAUCAAAAUACUCACAAUUCUUGAAAUUACGAAAUUACCCUCAAAUAUCAAAAUUACCAAAAUACCCUUGAAUUCAAUAUUACUAAAAUACCCUCAUAUCAAAAUUACCAAAUUAACCUCAAAAUCAUAAAUUACCAACUUUAUCCUCAAUUUCAGCAAUUAUUAAAACACCCACAAAAUCUGAAAUUACAAAAUUGCCCUUGGACUGUGAAAUUACCGAAAUACCCUUGCCGGUGGACGGUCACCGGAAUUCAACCGACGGCGACGGGAUGGCUCCGGAUCGAGCUCCCAAAAUCGUGAAUCCUCCAACGGCCGAUCAACGGCAAAACGACGUCCCCGGCGUCAGUGGUUAGUCGGAAAUGGCAGAGGGAAAGGUAAGAAACAAAACUCAAGUGAUGGCUUCACCGGAAACCGGCGAAAUCACGGCGAAUCGAGCCGGCGAUUCCGCGGUACUUCAAAGCUUCGAUCGGUGGCUUUCCGAUCGAUUUCCGGCGGCAAGGACGGCAUGGAUACGUUGCUCGUCUCUCAAGCUUCAAAUCGGUACCAACCUUGACCGGAACGGUGGCCGGAAAUGGAAUAACCGGCCGGGUCGCGCUCGCGGGUCGGGUUGGAUCCGGUUCUGUUUCUCCUCUCUCUCUCUUCUCUUCUCUCUUUCCUUUCUCUCUUUCUGUCAAUUUAUAUGGGUGGUCAACAGAGUCAAAACCGGGUGUGGGGUAUUACAGUAUUGUAAUAGAACCUAGAACUUCUAUGUAUUUUAGAAUGAAAAUUCUGUACAAUAGAAAAUAUUAAAACGAAAAUUAAAGUUGAUAUGAGAAAAUUAAAGAAGCUUGGAACUGCAAUCUAGCUCGACCUACUAUAUAUAUAUAUAUAUGUUAUUAAUUAAUUGAUCAGGUAAGAUAGAGAGAGACUCUCGGACUCUUUACAAGGAGCAAAAAUGGUAUGAAACUCUGUUUUGAUUAAAAUUCAAUGACUUUCUUCGUAUUAAUUAAUUAUUUUGGUGAAAUUGAUUCACGGUUUCAAAUGAGGACAUGCCGCGGAUGCGUGCGUGCCGUAUGACAUCGAUGAAA